AGCUCCCAUGAUUCCAAUGCAUUAAGCAGUGUAGAUGCACACGUACAGUAACAGAACAAUAUUUGUUGGGCUACGCCUUCCUCAUCUUUGAUGUAUUUAACUGGUUGGUUCUUCUUCAUGUUGCUGGAUUUGGAGUGGCAAUACACUUUAAGGUGGCAAGGAUACAGAAGCUCUUUCGGAAAAAAAAACCCAGUGGCAAUUCUGAAACAACUGCUUCAGCUCUACAGUCCAAUAUCCAACCAACAACAUAACUUUUAUUUCAAGUAA
rnacentral:lncRNA from 11 species